AUACGUAGGGGGCGAGCGUUGCGCGGAAUCACUGGGCGUAAAGGGUGCGUAGGCGGCCUGGUAAGUCGAAGGUGAAAGACCACGGCUCAACCGUGGGGUUGCUUUCGAUACUGCUGGGCUUGAGGCCAGGAGAGGCUGGCGGAAUUCCCGGUGUAGCGGUGAAAUGCGCAGAUAUCGGGAGGAACACCGGUGGCGGAGGCGGCCGGCUGGCCUGGUACUGACGCUGAGGCACGAAAGCGUGGGGAGCGAACCGGAUUAGAAACCCCAGUAGUCC
rnacentral:rRNA from 1 species